UACGAAGGGGGCUAGCGUUGUUCGGAAUCACUGGGCGUAAAGCGCACGUAGGCGGAUCUUUAAGUCAGGGGUGAAAUCCCGAGGCUCAACCUCGGAACUGCCUUUGAUACUGGGGAUCUCGAGUCCGGGAGAGGUGAGUGGAACUGCGGGUGUAGAGGUGAAAUUCGUAGAUAUUCGCAAGAACACCAGUGGCGGAGGCGGCUCACUGGCCCGGAACUGACGCUGAGGUGCGAAAGCGUGGGGAGCAAACAGG
rnacentral:rRNA from 1 species